rnacentral:tRNA from 3 species
GCGCGAGUGGCGGAAUAGGUAGACGCGCUGGCUUCAGGUGCCAGUGUUCGAAAGGACGUGGGGGUUCAAGUCCCCCCUCGCGCA